ACCUGGAUUAAUCACAUAAUAGAAAAUAUUAAAAUCAAUGAAUCACACAUCAACACAAUAUAUUGGUAAAUCACACAACUUUUCCAUGCAACUAUUUGACUUCCACAUAUUAAUGGACAACAUCAACCACCUCAGAAAGUGAAACCACAUAAAGGAAACAUUAACCAGCACCCACCCACCAACCCACCCUUUUCUUUCCAAAUUCCUUUUUCCCACCCCACUAAAUCUCUGACUUCACAUCCCACUUCCACCACAUCUUCAAAAGAAACCCAAUAGACUUUUCAAGAUCUUGAAGCUCAAAAGUCAUAGGUAACACUGAUCAUGUAACAAGGAUCUCCAAUAACUGUUUACAUGAUUGUGUUUAGGUAAUUGUCCAUUGAAAUAUUGAAGAUAAAAGGAAAAACUCAAUCAUGCCGGAAAAAAACAUUUUGAAGCUCAAAGGCUCAAUCUAAGUGUACUGGACUUACCGUGAUACCCUGAUAGGCAAGAGACUGGACUAAGCAUAACGUGGGAACACAAAGAAUCACGGUACUAUGGGUGUCACAGCAGUAUUUACCUCGCUGUAUCAGUGCAUGGGAGUCAUUUUUUAGCAUCUGCAGAACCCACCUGGUUGAGCCUAAUAACUAUGUAUUACUGUAUUGUUUAUAUAUAGGGUAUCUUAGAGUUUUAAGUGAGAAUUUGACAUACAGAAUUACUCAGUUUUAAUCUAUAUCCAUUAUAGUGGAUUAUUCUCUUCUCCUAUGUAGUUUUUCCCUCUUUCCAUGUGAAUCUUUGCAUCUUCUCCAAGCUUCCGUUUGAUUAUUCUCAA